rnacentral:rRNA from 1 species
UACGUAGGGUGCAAGCGUUGUCCGGAAUUAUUGGGCGUAAAGAGCUCGUAGGCGGUUUGUCGCGUCUGCUGUGAAAACUCGGGGCUUAACUCCGGGCCUGCAGUGGGUACGGGCAGACUAGAGUGCGGUAGGGGAGACUGGAAUUCCUGGUGUAGCGGUGAAAUGCGUAGAUAUCAGGAGGAACACCGGUGGCGAAGGCGGCUCUCUGGACGGUGACUGACGCUGAGACGCGAAAGCGUGGGGAGCAAACAGG